rnacentral:rRNA from 2 species
GGUUAAGCGAAUAAGCGUACACGGUGGAUGCCCUGGCAGUCAGAGGCGAUGAAGGGCGUGUUAAUCUGCGAUAAGCGCCGGUAAGGUGAUAUGAACCGUUAUAACCGGCGAUACCCGAAUGGGGAAACCCAGUGUGAUUCGUCACACUAUCAUUAACUGAAUCCAUAGGUUAAUGAGGCGAACCGGGGGAACUGAAACAUCUAAGUACCCCGAGGAAAAGAAAUCAACCGAGAUUCCCCCAGUAGCGGCGAGCGAACGGGGAGGAGCCCAGAGCCUGAAUCAGCAUGUGUGUUAGUGGAAGCGUCUGGAAAGGCGCGCGAUACAGGGUGACAGCCCCGUACACAAAAGCGCAUGUGCUGUGAGCUCGAUGAGUAGGGCGGGACACGUGGUAUCCUGUCUGAAUAUGGGGGGACCAUCCUCCAAGGCUAAAUACUCCUGACUGACCGAUAGUGAACCAGUACCGUGAGGGAAAGGCGAAAAGAACCCCGGCGAGGGGAGUGAAAAAGAACCUGAAACCGUGUACGUACAAGCAGUGGGAGCACAGGUUUACCUGUGUGACUGCGUACCUUUUGUAUAAUGGGUCAGCGACUUAUAUUCUGUAGCAAGGUUAACCGAAUAGGGGAGCCGGAGGGAAACCGAGUCUUAACCGGGCGUUAAGUUGCAGGGUAUAGACCCGAAACCCGGUGAUCUAGCCAUGGGCAGGUUGAAGGUUGGGUAACACUAACUGGAGGACCGAACCGACUAAUGUUGAAAAAUUAGCGGAUGACCUGUGGCUGGGGGUGAAAGGCCAAUCAAACCGGGAGAUAGCUGGUUCUCCCCGAAAGCUAUUUAGGUAGCGCCUCGUGAAUUCAUCUCCGGGGGUAGAGCACUGUUUCGGCUAGGGGGCCAUCCCGGCUUACCAACCCGAUGCAAACUGCGAAUACCGGAGAAUGUUAUCACGGGAGACACACGGCGGGUGCUAACGUCCGUCGUGAAGAGGGAAACAACCCAGACCGCCAGCUAAGGUCCCAAAGUCAUGGUUAAGUGGGAAACGAUGUGGGAAGGCCCAGACAGCCAGGAUGUUGGCUUAGAAGCAGCCAUCAUUUAAAGAAAGCGUAAUAGCUCACUGGUCGAGUCGGCCUGCGCGGAAGAUGUAACGGGGCUAAACCAUGCACCGAAGCUGCGGCAGCGAACGUAUCACUUAAAGCGAUUCAGCGGGUUACGAUUGACGGAGCGAAGCGACGUCAAAGCGUAUACAAAGUCGAGUCGGUUUAAGGAUACGUUCGUUGGGUAGGGGAGCGUUCUGUAAGCCUGCGAAGGUGGCCUGUGAGGGUUGCUGGAGGUAUCAGAAGUGCGAAUGCUGACAUAAGUAACGAUAAAGCGGGUGAAAAGCCCGCUCGCCGGAAGACCAAGGGUUCCUGUCCAACGUUAAUCGGGGCAGGGUGAGUCGACCCCUAAGGCGAGGCCGAAAGGCGUAGUCGAUGGGAAACGGGUUAAUAUUCCCGUACUUGGUGUUACUGCGAAGGGGGGACGGAGAAGGCUAUGUUGGCCGGGCGACGGUUGUCCCGGUUUAAGCGUGUAGGUGUGUGUUCCAGGUAAAUCCGGUUCACUUUAACACUGAGGCGUGAUGACGAGGCACUACGGUGCUGAAGUAACAAAUGCCCUGCUUCCAGGAAAAGCCUCUAAGCAUCAGGUAACAUCAAAUCGUACCCCAAACCGACACAGGUGGUCAGGUAGAGAAUACCAAGGCGCUUGAGAGAACUCGGGUGAAGGAACUAGGCAAAAUGGUGCCGUAACUUCGGGAGAAGGCACGCUGACACGUAGGUGAAGUGAUUUACUCACGGAGCUGAAGUCAGUCGAAGAUACCAGCUGGCUGCAACUGUUUAUUAAAAACACAGCACUGUGCAAACACGAAAGUGGACGUAUACGGUGUGACGCCUGCCCGGUGCCGGAAGGUUAAUUGAUGGGGUCAGCGCAAGCGAAGCUCCUGAUCGAAGCCCCGGUAAACGGCGGCCGUAACUAUAACGGUCCUAAGGUAGCGAAAUUCCUUGUCGGGUAAGUUCCGACCUGCACGAAUGGCGUAAUGAUGGCCAGGCUGUCUCCACCCGAGACUCAGUGAAAUUGAACUCGCUGUGAAGAUGCAGUGUACCCGCGGCAAGACGGAAAGACCCCGUGAACCUUUACUAUAGCUUGACACUGAACAUUGAGCCUUGAUGUGUAGGAUAGGUGGGAGGCUUUGAAGUGUGGACGCCAGUCUGCAUGGAGCCGACCUUGAAAUACCACCCUUUAAUGUUUGAUGUUCUAACGUGGACCCGUUACCCGGGUUGCGGACAGUGUCUGGUGGGUAGUUUGACUGGGGCGGUCUCCUCCUAAAGAGUAACGGAGGAGCACGAAGGUUGGCUAAUCCUGGUCGGACAUCAGGAGGUUAGUGCAAUGGCAUAAGCCAGCUUGACUGCGAGCGUGACGGCGCGAGCAGGUGCGAAAGCAGGUCAUAGUGAUCCGGUGGUUCUGAAUGGAAGGGCCAUCGCUCAACGGAUAAAAGGUACUCCGGGGAUAACAGGCUGAUACCGCCCAAGAGUUCAUAUCGACGGCGGUGUUUGGCACCUCGAUGUCGGCUCAUCACAUCCUGGGGCUGAAGCAGGUCCCAAGGGUAUGGCUGUUCGCCAUUUAAAGUGGUACGCGAGCUGGGUUUAGAACGUCGUGAGACAGUUCGGUCCCUAUCUGCCGUGGGCGCUGGAGAACUGAGGGGGGCUGCUCCUAGUACGAGAGGACCGGAGUGGACGCAUCACUGGUGUUCGGGUUGUCAUGCCAAUGGCACUGCCCGGUAGCUAAAUGCGGAAGAGAUAAGUGCUGAAAGCAUCUAAGCACGAAACUUGCCCCGAGAUGAGUUCUCCCUGAGACUUAGAGUCUCCUGAAGGAACGUUGAAGACGACGACGUUGAUAGGCCGGGUGUGUAAGCGCAGCGAUGCGUUGAGCUAACCGGUACUAAUGAACCGUGAGGCUUAACCUU